rnacentral:rRNA from 1 species
AUUGAACGCUGGCGGCAGGCCUAACACAUGCAAGUCGAGCGGAUGCAGGGAGCUUGCUCCUGGAUUCAGCGGCGGACGGGCGAGUAAUGCCUAGGAAUCUGCCUGGUAGUGGGGGAUAACGUCCGGAAACGGGCGCUAAUACCGCAUACGUCCUGAGGGCGAACGUGGGGGAUCUUCGGACCUCACGCUAUCAGAUGAGCCUAGGUCGGAUUAGCUAGUUGGUGGGGUAAAGGCCUACCAAGGCGACGAUCCGUAGCUGGUCUGAGAGGAUGAUCAGUCACACUGGAACUGAGACACGGUCCAGACUCCUACGGGAGGCAGCAGUGGGGAAUAUUGGACAAUGGGCGAAAGCCUGAUCCAGCCAUGCCGCGUGUGUGAAGAAGGUCUUCGGGUUGUAAAGCACUUUAGGUUGGGAGGAAGGGCGGUAAGUUAAUACCUUGCUGUUUUGACGUUACCAACAGAAUAAGCACCGGCUAACUUCGUG